rnacentral:lncRNA from 1 species
UUUUUUUGCCAGGUAAAAUUCAUUGAGGACAAUCCCUUCACAAUCUAGAACUGGAAGAUUGGAUUUUCUGAAAACAUCGGAGAAAGACUGUCCUUGCCAUCCACACUACAGCAAAUCUUUGGAGACUUGAACUUUGGGUUCAUAAUCUCACAACUGAGAAGGGUCCCACCACACUCCUGGAACUGUGCACCCAUUGGAAACCUUAAGAAAUUCAACAUAUGAAACAGAAGUAAAGCAGAGCUUCUCUGGCUGAAGGAGGAGGAUUAAAGGUAUCAAGAGGAAGGGUUGAGGGCCACCUGCCAGCCCCUACUCAUUGGUCCUUAGUGGCUCAGGGCUCUGUACUCAUUGCUCUUCAUCCCACUGCUGUGUGCUAUUGUCUUUGUGAUCUUCAUGAUUGGAUUUUGCUUCUUCAAGGAAGAUAUAAAAGAGCCCAAGUAAUUCUGGAAACCAGCAUUUUACCCUUGACCUCCUGCUUUUCAUCCUACUGGUCCUCGCCAGAAGUCGCUGGUUGCCUGGUAUAAGAAAACAAUCAUAAUUAUCUCAUUAAUACUUGGACCUGGCCUCCCUGCUAAUCAGGUUUGUACUGCUGAGAUUUCAAAGGAGAACAGAAAUCUACUAAGAAGAAAUAAAUUGGUUCUCAGGCUAUAAAUAGUUCUAGGAAGCUGCCCAGGGACAAAAAUUUGCCUGCUGGUGAAAUAAAAGACCAUGUAAACUGUAGAUUUAUUUGGAGAGUAUAGUUCCAUGAAUUUAACUGGUCUAGACUCUGGGCCUCUGGAAGGCAGAGACCAUGCUCUCAGCCUUGCCUUUAGUACCUUGUCUGUAACAGGCUAUCAGAUAUGUUGAUUGUGUCAAAGAUAAGCAAAUUCUGAAAUGAGUAAUUUUUUUCAUUCUCUAUCCUCUCUGAAUUCACUUAGUGCCUCUCAGAAUGUGUCUGAGUGGAAAGGGAUUUGCACAGGAUAUGUCCAAACAGGUUAUUGUAACUUUGGAGGUAAACUCUUGUCUAUCAUUCCAUGCACUUCAUUAUUAUUUAUAUCCAUUUCUUUCUUUCUUUCUUUGUUUAUUUAUUUAAGUAAUUGGUCAUGAAAUAGACUUGCAUGCUGAAUACUGAAAUGUGGUGUUUGACACUUGUAAAUUAUUCCAGAUUAUAUAUGAGACUAUAAUAGAUAAAAGUGAUUUAGAUAAUAAAGUGAUCUGUAAUUGAAGUAAAUGAGAGCUGGGUGCUGUGGCUAAUGCCUUGUACUCCCAGCACUUUGGAAGGCUGAGGCAGUAGGAUCGCUUGGGUCCAGGAGUUUGAGACUAGCGUGGCAACAUAGCUAGACCCUGUCUCUACAAAAAGUAAAAAAUUAACCAAGUGUGGUGAUGCGCACCUGUAGUCUCAGCUACACAGGAGGCUGAGGUGGGAGGAUCACUUGAGCUCCAGAUGUUGAGGCUGAAGUGAGCCAUAAUCAUCCUACUGCACUCCAGCCUGGGUGACAGAGGAAGACCAUGUCUCAAAAAAAAAAAAAAAAAAAAGAGAAGUAAAUGAAAACUUAGAGAAAUAGUAGUUGCAACUUCCAAACCAAAGCUUGUAAUUCUGGUCACUAUGACUUGGAAAUAUUUUCCAGAACAACUGUGACUCUUGCCGUUGCUCUAUAAAAUACUGGCAAGGUCCAAAAGGGAAUUUUCCCCCACUGUGUAUAAUAUUAUUAGACAGAUGGUAUUGUAUAGAUGUUCAUAAUGAUAAUUUUUUAAAAUUAGCACAGCAAAUAUUAACUGAACAUGAUCUUCAUGUCCUGUUCCACACAGGUUGUAUUUGUUGAUGUGGACUCUGAUAAAACUGAAAGUUCUUUACUAAUGAAUGCAAAACCAUCUCAUUGCUUACAUUCUUUCUAGAAUUUGCAUAUGCAAAGAUACAAAUUCCAGAAAUAGCACUCAAGAGAACAGUCUGUAGAAAUCUUGUCUAACAACUCUAAAUUUUCAAUCAGCAUUGAAUCAGAAUUAUAGCCAUAGUUCUCUGAAUUAUUCAUGAUAAAUAGAUGACUGGCUACCCAUGGGACUCUGAUACAGCGCUUUCAAUGUGGUAAAAUAAUUAGAAUUGUCAUAUCCACUCUUUGUAAAAUUAUGAGAACUGUUAUUUAUUAAUAGCAAAUGUCAUAACAUAAUCCAACUGUUAUUUUCC